AUUGAACGCUGGCGGCAUGCUUUACACAUGCAAGUCGAACGGUAACAGGUUAAGCUGACGAGUGGCGAACGGGUGAGUAAUGCAUCGGAACGUGCCCGAUCGUGGGGGAUAACGCAGCGAAAGCUGCGCUAAUACCGCAUACGAUCUGAGGAUGAAAGCGGGGGACCGUAAGGCCUCGCGCGAUCGGAGCGGCCGAUGUCAGAUUAGGUAGUUGGUGGGGUAAAGGCUCACCAAGCCAACGAUCGGUAGCUGGUCUGAGAGGCCGACCAGCCACACUGGGACUGAGACACGGCCCAGACUCCUACGGGAGGCAGCAGUGGGGAAUUUUGGACAAUGGGCGAAAGCCUGAUCCAGCAAUGCCGCGUGCAGGAAGAAGGCCUUCGGGUUGUAAACUGCUUUUGUACGGAGCGAAAAGGUUCUCUCUAAUACAGAGGGCUCAUGACGGUACCGUAAGAAUAAGCACCGGCUAACUACGUGCCAGCAGCCGCGGUAAAAC
rnacentral:rRNA from 1 species